rnacentral:SRP_RNA from 14 species
UCUUGCUUAAAAAGGAGCGAGUACUGCGUGAGGUUCACAAGCCAGUAUGGGCAGUAGAGGAUAACGCGCCGAUUCCCGGCGGGCCCGAUUUCGUUCUUGAG